rnacentral:tRNA from 1 species
GCCUUCGUGGUGUAAUGGCCAGCACACUCGACAGGUAUUCAAGAGAUCCGAGGUUCAAGUCUCCACGAAGGCA